rnacentral:rRNA from 1 species
CUACGUGCCAGCAGCCGCGGUAAUACGUAGGUCCCGAGCGUUGUCCGGAUUUAUUGGGCGUAAAGCGAGCGCAGGCGGUUUGAUAAGUCUGAAGUUAAAGGCUGUGGCUCAACCAUAGUUCGCUUUGGAAACUGUCAAACUUGAGUGCAGAAGGGGAGAGUGGAAUUCCAUGUGUAGCGGUGAAAUGCGUAGAUAUAUGGAGGAACACCGGUGGCGAAAGCGGCUCUCUGGUCUGUAACUGACGCUGAGGCUCGAAAGCGUGGGGAGCGAACAGGAUUAGAUACCCUGGUAGUCCACGCCGUAAACGAUGAGUGCUAGGUGUUGGAUCCUUUCCGGGAUUCAGUGCCGCAGCUAACGCAUUAAGCACUCCGCCUGGGGAGUACGACCGCAAGGUUGAAACUCAAAGGAAUUGACGGGGGCCUGCACAAGCGGUGGAGCAUGUGGUUUAAUUCGAAGCAACGCGAAGAACCUUACCAGGUCUUGACAUCCCGAUGCUAUUUCUAGAGAUAGAAAGUUA